UUGCAUGAAGGAUUGAAGCAAUUGUUUGAGCUCUUUUUUAUUUUUCAUAAAAAAAGCGAGUGCGGAAAGCCUGACGAUUU
rnacentral:misc_RNA from 1 species